ACCAGCCAAAUAUUUGAACACUAAAAGGAAGAAUUUUCUUAAUGUGGUAAUGGUAUCAUGGUUGUAUAGAAUGUUCCUCCUCUUGGGAGAUGUGUGUUGAAAAUAGGGUUUGACGUCUAAACCUAUUUUGUUUUGGCAAAAAGGACGUGUGUCUGUACAAAAGAAGUGGAGCCAGUAUGGCAAAAUGUUUACAAGGACUCUGGGUGAGAGGUACAUAGGUGCUUACUAUACUGUUUUGUUUCUGAAUUUGGAAUUUCUCAAAAUUAAAAAAAUAUCUACUGAGGAGCUUUUCGUUUUAACUGGUGGGGAAUGGGUUCUGGGUGGUUUUGCCCCUUUUCUUUUUAGAUUCAAGAAAUCCAUGGUGAAAGGUUUGGAUUCCUAUGAAGAAAAGGAGGAUAAAGUGAUCAAGGAGGUAAGUUAAAGUAGCAGUCCCUCACCCUUUUUGCACCAGGGGCUGGUUUCGUGGAAGACGGUUUUUCCACAGAUGGACCCAGGCAGGGGAUGGUUUCAGAAUGAGACUGCUCCACCUCAGAUCAUCAGGCACUAGAUUCUCAUAAGGAGCACGCAACCUAGAUACCUUGCAUGCCCAGUUCACAAUAGUGUUUGUGCUCCUAUGAGAAUGUAACACCACCACUGAUCUGACAGGAGCUCAGGCGGCAGUGCUGUUGCAGCCUGCUUCCUGACAGGCCACAGACCAGUACUGGUCCACGCCUGGGGGUGGAGGGCCCAAGUUAAAGGAAAGGCCUCUGAAGAAACUGGCCCCCAUGAUCCUGUACCUGUCUAAGCAGCCUCUCUCCCACAGAUGGCAGCUCAGAUCCGUGAGGUGGAGCAGAGCCGACAGGAGGUGGUUCGGUCUGUCUUAGAGGUUGGUUUCCCUCGGAGGAUCCAGACCACCUCAGGCAGUGCCAGACCCAGAAGAGGGCUCUUCAGCACCUAGAAGCUGGAAAGGGAUGAACAGCCAAGUAGCUUCCAGCUUACAGCAGCCCUCAAAUUUGGACCUGCCACCAGCUCCAGAGCUUGACUGGAUGGAGACAGGACCAUCUCUGACAUUCAUUGGCCAUCAGGAUAUACCAGGAGUUGGUAACAUCCACUCAGGUGCCACACCUCCCUGGAUGAUCCAAGAUGAAGAAUACAUUGCUGGGAACCAAGAAAUAGGACCAUCCUAUGAAGAAUUUCUUAAAG
rnacentral:lncRNA from 1 species